CAGCACCUCAAGUGGUCAGGAUGAUUAUUGGGCCUAGAGCAUCCGUAGCCGGCGCUGUAAGUUUUCGGUUAAAUCUGUACGCUCAACGUACAGGCUGCCGGGAAUACUGCAGAGCUAGGGAGUGGGAGAGGUAGACGGUACUCGGUAGGAAGGGGUAAAAUCCUUUGAUCUAUUGAUGACCACCUGUGGCGAAGGCGGUCUACCAGAACACGUCCGACGGUGAGGGAUGAAAGCUGGGGGAGCAAACCGGAUUAGAGACCCGAGUAGUCC
rnacentral:rRNA from 1 species